rnacentral:rRNA from 1 species
GAUGAACGCUGGCGGCGUGCUUAACACAUGCAAGUCGAACGGUGAAGGCGGAGCUUGCUCUGCUGGAUCAGUGGCGAACGGGUGAGUAACACGUGAGCAAUCUGCCCCUGACUCUGGGAUAAGCGCUGGAAACGGCGUCUAAUACUGGAUACGAGCUGCGAAGGCAUCUUCAGCAGCUGGAAAGAACUUCGGUCAGGGAUGAGCUCGCGGCCUAUCAGCUUGUUGGUGAGGUAACGGCUCACCAAGGCGUCGACGGGUAGCCGGCCUGAGAGGGUGACCGGCCACACUGGGACUGAGACACGGCCCAGACUCCUACGGGAGGCAGCAGUGGGGAAUAUUGCACAUGGGCGAAAGCCUGAUGCAGCAACGCCGCGUGAGGGACGACGGCCUUCGGGUUGUAAACCUCUUUUAGCAGGGAAGAAGCGAAAGUGACGGUACCUGCAGAAAAAGCGCCGGCUAACUACGUG